CGUUGCUUUCCUUCUGCUCGUUUGCCUACAAUUCUACUAUUGUCUACCAUCAUUGGUUCCUGACCGUGUACACACUAUAUCUGAUCAUGACGCUGCUAUGGAAGCUUUUAAAGUUAUGUCACCAGAGGAGAAGAUGAACGUUUAUAAAACGAUAUCCCGCAUCAUACAAUUGUAUCGAAUUCAUAAUGACGGAAAAUAUCUGACCAGAGAACACGAAGCAUGCGGGGAUUUCUGUACCACAGUAGCGGCUCCCACUCUUGGAAUCGGUGCUCCGAUGUGUGCUACUGCCUGCGCUUUGUUGAAAGUGAUAAUUGGUUGAGCGUCUUUUGAAAAUAAAAUAUUGAAUAAGU